rnacentral:lncRNA from 10 species
CCCACCAAGGGCUCGCACCCAGCCCAUGCUGACUCCAGUUGUCCUUGACUGCAUGGUUUCUGCUGGUCCAAGCAAACUUCUCCUGCCACGCCUAACCUUGGAGAGCAGGUACCCAAGCAAGCCACUCCUCAGGCAUUUUCCCCACAACUAGAAAUCCAGAGGCUUUGGAUCUUGAGAAGAACAUGAAGGAAAGAUGCCAGGAAGUACAGUCUGGUCUGCUGAUGAUGAUCAAUGGAGGAAGUGUUUCAUGGUGGACAUGGGAAACUGGCCAGAUCAACUGCUGUCACCUUCUAAAGAGAGGGUUUUGCCAUGUUGCCAGGCUGGUCUCGAACUCCUGGACUCAAGUGAUCUGCCUGCCUCAGCCUCCCAAAGUGCUGGAAUUAUAGGACCCAGACGGGGAGGAGGAAUGCCAGAGAAGCUGCAGACUCUCCGGCCACGGAGCCUGAGUGGAGCAGAGGUGGCCCACUGUCAGCCACAGGAAAGACACUGAAGGAGCAGAGGUGUGGACGCCACAUACUGGACGGGGUUUCACCAUCUGCUGGGACGGGACACCCUCUCUUCUUGAUCUCACUCCCAGAAAAGACACUGAAGGAGCAGAGGUGUGGACGCCUCAUACUGCUAGAGACGGGGUUUCACCGUGUUAGCCAGGAUGGUCUCAAUCUCCUGAAGUCGUGAUCCACCCGCCUUGGCCUCCCAAAGUGCUGGGAUUACAGGCGUGAGCCACUGCACCCGGCUGAAAUUGUAUACUUUAAAGGGAUGAAUUUUAUGGUAUGUGAAUUAUGUCUCAUUAAAAAAAACAAACUGUUAAGAAAACCAGGAGUGGUCUGGAGAAAUGCUUAGCCACGGCUCCAGGCUCCAGGCUGGGCCAUGCCUCACCUCUCUGGAUGGGAACUCAGCACAGCUGGCAUCAACAAAGCUGACUGUCCCCUGUGUCAGGCAUCACAGGGUCAGGAGGCUCCUGGCUCAGAGGGGGAUGUGAAGGAGGGCAGUGGAGGGAAGAGAGUCCUGGCACAGGGAAGAGGGAACCAGGCUGCCGGCCCAGUGCCCAGCUGCUCCCCAUCCCUCACACCCUGGCCCUGGAGCCCUUGGCCACAUGCCCCAUCCCAGGACCGCCUAGUUGUGAGAGAAGCCCCCGUGGG